AUGAAAAUUAAUAAGAACUGUGAACAAACACUUCUACAGCUGGGAUUACUAUUCUGUUUUAUGCCUACUAGUGACCACCAUUCACCUGUAUGCUAUAGCUGCUGUUCAUAGAGUCAAAAGUACAGCUACAGUUAAAACGACUGUAUCCACCUGCAGUAAUCAGGUGCACAUGUUUUCCCACAGUCUGUUUAGCAGCAGCAUACUCACCAAGACCAUCACCACCAGAGAAAGUUGCUGCACCUGACCGUGUGUCAUAAUGACUAUUUGCGAAAGAUGAGAAGCUACGCUGCAGACGGCGAUGUCGCAACACAAA